rnacentral:rRNA from 1 species
AUGUCGACUGCAGGGAUAAUCAAAGUCUCCACUGCUUGCCCCAUGUUCGAUGGAACUGAAUAUCCCUACUGGAAGAAUAAUAUGUGCAUGCAUCUUGAAGCCAUUGAUGUCGACCUUUGGUAUGUCGUCAAGAACGGCGUUCCGAAAACUGGUGAAGGUGUCACCCCUGCUGAUGUCAAGAAGUUCAUUCAAAUGGACUCUACUGCCAAGAACAUCAUCUGUGGUCAUCUGACCAAAGGACAGUAUGGCCGUGUGAGUGCUCUGGAAACGUCGAAGCUAGUCUGGGACUGGCUAUCCAAGGUCAACGAAGGCGUCUCAACCCAGAGAGAUCAAAGGAUCAGUGUUCUUCGCAACCUCUUCAACCGCUUCAAGAGAAACGACAAUGAAAAUGUCCAGCUCACGUUUGAUCGCCUCACCGACAUCACAAAUGAGCUUCGUGCUCUAGGCGCCACUGAGAUUACCAAGCAUGAAAUCAUCAAGACUCUACUGAGAUCACUGGACAGCUCCUUUGACACCCUUGCACUCAUGAUACAAGAACGCCCUGACUUCAAGACACUCGAUCCGUCUGAUAUACUUGAGAGGCUCAACACACAUGAGUUCCAGCUUUCUGAGAAAAGAGAUAUCUAUGGUCCCAACUAUGACCGAACUCGCGCUUUGAAGGCAAAAGUUGUUUCCUCAUCUGAAGAAGAAUCUGACUGCAGUUCUGAUGAUCCUGAAGACAUUGGAAAGGAACUUGCUAUGCUUGUGAAGAAGUUCCAGAAGUUCACUAAGAAGAAGGGCUUCAGAAAGUCUUCACGAUCUAGCUCAAGAAAUGAUGAAGCUUCCACUCAUGACUACAAGAAGAGAACAUGUCACAAGUGCAAGAAACCUGGACACUAUAUCUCUGAGUGUCCACAGUGGGACAAUGAGAAGAAGAAGAAGAGCAAGGAAUAUGAUUCUGAUGACAAGAAGAAGAAGAAAUCUUCAAAGUCUUCUUCCAAGUCCUCAUCUAAGUCUUCAUCUCAUUAG